rnacentral:rRNA from 1 species
AAUAUUGCGCAAUGGAGGGAACUCUGACGCAGCGACGCCGCGUGUGCGAUGAAGGCCNNNGGGUUNUCAAGCACUUUUGGCAGNGACNAAAAGCCGCGGGUUAAUACCCUGCGGUGCUGACGGUACCUGCAGAAUAAGCACCGGCUAACUACGUGCCAGCAGCCGCGGUAAUACGUAGGGUGCAAGCGUUAAUCGGAAUUACUGGGCGUAAAGCGUGCGCAGGCGGUUCGGCAAGAAGGAUGUGAAAUCCCGGGGCUUAACCUCGGAACUGCAUUCUUAACUGCCGGGCUAGAGUAUGUCAGAGGGGGGUAGAAUUCCGCGUGUAGCAGUGAAAUGCGUAGAGAUGCGGAGGAAUACCGAUGGCGAAGGCAGCCCCCUGGGAUAAUACUGACGCUCAUGCACGAAAGCGUGGGGAGCAAAC